rnacentral:rRNA from 1 species
UAUUGCACAAUGGGGGAAGCCCUGAUGCAGCGACGCCGCGUGAGUGAAGAAGUAUUUCGGUAUGUAAAGCUCUAUCAGCAGGGAAGAUAAUGACGGUACCCGACUAAGAAGCACCGGAUAACUACGUGCCAGCAGCCGCGGUAAUACGUAGGGGGCAAGCGUUAUCCGGAUUUACUGGGUGUAAAGGGAGCGUAGGUGGCGGGGCAAGUCAGAUGUGAAAACCCGGGGCUCAACCCCGGGAGUGCAUUUGAAACUGUCCGGCUGGAGUGCAGGAGAGGUAAGCGGAAUUCCUAGUGUAGCGGUGAAAUGCAUAGAUAUUAGGAGGAACACCAGUGGCGAAGGCGGCUUACUGGACUGUAACUGACACUGAGGCUCGAAAGCGUGGGGAGCAAACAGGA